rnacentral:rRNA from 1 species
AUUGAACGCUGGCGGCAUGCCUUACACAUGCAAGUCGAACGGCAGCACGGGAGCAAUCCUGGUGGCGAGUGGCGAACGGGUGAGUAAAGUAUCGGAACGUGCCCAGUCGUGGGGGAUAACGUAGCGAAAGUUACGCUAAUACCGCAUACGAUCUAUGAAUGAAAGCGGGGGAUCGCAAGACCUCGCGCGAUUGGAGCGGCCGAUAUCAGAUUAGGUGGUUGGUGGGGUAAAGGCUCACCAAGCCGACGAUCUGUAGCUGGUCUGAGAGGACGACCAGCCACACUGGGACUGAGACACGGCCCAGACUCCUACGGGAGGCAGCAGUGGGGAAUUUUGGACAAUGGGCGCAAGCCUGAUCCAGCCAUGCCGCGUGCAGGAUGAAGGCCUUCGGGUUGUAAACUGCUUUUGUACGGAACGAAAAGGUUUGACUUAAUACGUUGGACUCAUGACGGUACCGUAAGAAUAAGCACCGGCUAACUACGUGCCAGCAGCCGCCGUAA